rnacentral:rRNA from 1 species
GACAGAGGGUGCAAACGUUGUUCGGAAUUACUGGGCGUAAAGCGUGUGUAGGCGGCUUCGCAAGUCGGAUGUGAAGCCCGGGCUCAACCCGGGAAGUGCACUCGAUACUGCGGAGCUAGAGUGUCGGAGAGGUUGGUGGAAUUCUCGGUGUAGAGGUGAAAUUCGUAGAUAUCGAGAGGAACACCGGUGGCGAAGGCGGCCAACUGGACGAACACUGACGCUGAGACACGAAGCGUGGGAGCAAACAGG